rnacentral:rRNA from 1 species
UACGGAGGGAGCUAGCGUUGUUCGGAAAUACUGGGCGUAAAGCGCACGUAGGCGGCGCAGCAAGUCAGGGGUGAAAUCCCGGGGCUCAACCCCGGAACUGCCCUUGAAACUGCAGUGCUAGAAUCUUGGAGAGGCGAGUGGAAUUCCGAGUGUAGAGGUGAAAUUCGUAGAUAUUCGGAAGAACACCAGUGGCGAGGGCGACUCGCUGGACAAGUAUUGACGCUGAGGUGCGAAAGCGUGGGGAGCAAACAGG